CAACAAAGAUUGGAUUCUACUCUCAUCUAUUCAUUUUAGGCCCUGAUUCUUGAAAUCAAGUGAUUAUUAAGGUCCCCAUGGAUCAUACCAAUUCAAAGAUAGGAACAGAUGCACCACCAAGCAGUACUCCAAACUGGACAAUUAACAUUUCAGAUGUAAGAACAGUUAAAGUCAGUAAUAUCUCACUAGCUACCUCUGAGAAGGAUAUUAAGGAAUUCUUCUCUUUUUCUGGUGAUAUCCAGUAUGUUGAAAUACAAAGGGAAACUGAAACAUCUCAGCUUGCAUACGUUACCUUCAAGGAAUC